UAGCCUAGCGGAUAAGGCUAUGGAUUGCCAAUCUGGAGACGGCGGGUUCGAUUCCCGU
rfam:Aedes albopictus isolate Foshan contig19804, whole genome shotgun sequence.